GUGUCGUGUGGCUAGAAAGAAAAAAAAUGUAAAAUGAAAAAAUAAAUUAAAUGGUUACAUUUAUCCAGUGAUUUGUACUAUAAAGUUAUUUUCCUUUUAACUUCACCAGUUUUAGAUUAUGUUUUAUUCAAAAUCGCUGAAUUUUUAUAUUUGCCAUUCAAAUGCUGAGAGGAG